UCGGACUUCGACUUUGAACUGGAGCCGGACGACUGGACCACGGCCACUACAGCUGGGAGUUCUGCUCCUUCCUGGACGUCUCUACCCCCUCGGACUCCGUGGAUGGUCCCGAGUCGACUCGGCCAGGGGCUGGCCCUGACUACCGCCUCAUGAAUGGUGGCACGCCCAUCCCCAAUGGGCCACGAGUGGAGACCCCAGACUCCUCCAGUGAGGAGGCCUUCGGUGCUGGCCCCACGGUGAAGAGCCAGCUGCCCCAGCGGACCCCAGGGACACGGGAGAGGGUGCGGUUCAGUGACAAAGUGCUCUACCAUGCUCUGUGCUGUGACGAUGAGGAGGGGGACGGUGAGCAGGAGGCGGAGGAGGAAGAAGUGGGCUUGCCCCCUGAGCCUGCCCAUACAGAGGCCCAUGCAGGCCCCCACAAGCCCUCCCCAGCCCCCUACAAGUCACGGCGCUCUCCACUGACCAGCCGCCACUCAGGCUCUACCUUGGCCCCUGAACAGACUCGAAGGGUCACGAGGAACAGCAGCACCCAGACAGUGUCAGACAAGAGCACGCAGACGGUUCUGCCCUACACAGCCACUAGACAGAAAGCCAGGGG
rnacentral:sRNA from 1 species